rnacentral:lncRNA from 1 species
AAAACAACCAAAAAUAAUCAACAUUAGCAACAAUAUUAAUAUUUAUAAGUUAAACUUUUAUAAAUUGGUUCUUUUAAAUGAAAAUUCACAUUAAAUAUCUGCAUUCCUGCAUCAAAUUUUGCUGACUUGAUAGAAAAUCUGGACCUUUGGUUCUCUGUUUUUUACAAUCCAAGAUGGAGGAAGACACCCAUACCACCUUAAA